AGUGAACGCUGGCGGUAGGCCUAACACAUGCAAGUCGAACGGCAGCACAGUAAGAGCUUGCUCUUACGGGUGGCGAGUGGCGGACGGGUGAGGAAUACAUCGGAAUCUACUUUUUCGUGGGGGAUAACGUAGGGAAACUUACGCUAAUACCGCAUACGACCUACGGGUGAAAGCAGGGGAUCUUCGGACCUUGCGCGAUUGAAUGAGCCGAUGUCGGACUAGCUAGUUGGCGGGGUAAAGGCCCACCAAGGCGACGAUCCGUAGCUGGUCUGAGAGGAUGAUCAGCCACACUGGAACUGAGACACGGUCCAGACUCCUACGGGAGGCAGCAGUGGGGAAUAUUGGACAAUGGGCGCAAGCCUGAUCCAGCCAUACCGCGUGGGUGAAGAAGGCCUUCGGGUUGUAAAGCCCUUUUGUUGGGAAAGAAAAGCAGCAGGUUAAUACCCCGCUGUUCUGACGGUACCCAAAGAAUAAGCACCGGCUAACCUCGUG
rnacentral:rRNA from 1 species